ensembl:lncRNA MANCR mitotically associated long non coding RNA
AUGGCUCUGUGUGUGUAUGUGCAGGACUCUGUGUGUGUGGUAUAUGCAUACCACAUACGCACACAUCCACACUAUACUAUGCACUCUACAUAUAUACAACUACAUAGGCAAAUAUAAAGCUGCAUGUGCAUAAAUACACAAACAAACACACAUACAUAUGUAUAAAAGCAAGCUUCCCAGGAGAUUCUUAGAUUCCUGCUAACAAAAGGCGGAGACUCACUGGACAGUUACUGAAGAUAGACAGUAGGGGGCGGAAGGGCCCACGCUUCUUUGAUAUUGGUGGCUUUGGUUUUUCAGUGACGGGGGACACUUUGACUUCAGACUCAAUCACCACAAUUGCAAUCAAAAGACGGCUUUAGUUGGAACCUGGAACGUGCUAAUCCUGUCAGGCAGCCUGUGAUUCUGGAAGUGAAGGAACAAAAAAAAAAAAAAAAAGGGAAAAUUUCACAUAAAAUUUCCAUAUGAGGAAGAAGAUGGAAACUUUUGUGUUGUGCGUUCAGUAAAACGGGCACUUUCUUAAGCAGGUGGCAAAGAAAGCCUGAGAAUCCGGCCUGACUUUUUCAUUUCAGAACCCUGCAUUUCCCACACAGAGGAGAUAGAGCACAGCCAUUGCAUGGUAGAUCCAGCUUGCUCUCACAGCCAUUGUGCAAAUAAACAUACAUGUGGCAAGGCAGUGCAGUUUUCAGUUGUUAAAAGUUCUGUCAUGCCACGAGAUGGAGCAAAGGAUAAACGCUGAUGUAAACAGGCAACAGGACUCUGACUCCACACCCCUGUCUGCACGGAGGAUGCUCAGUCCUUACACAACAAAAUGUGAGAUGCUUCCAGUCACCUCCUGGCCCUGACCCCUGAGCUCCGUGCUCACCCCACUGGAGGUCCUGGCAGUUCUCCGAGCAGGCUGUACCUGUCUGGGGUGAUCCUCUCCACUUAAUGUUAGACAUUAAGUUCCCUGUGAAAUCUGUUUUGACUCACUGAGGUUAUGAAUAUUUUAUCACAACUAUCAUCAUAUACUACCAAAUCUCCAAUUUUCUUAUCUCCAUUACUAGACUGUGAGCUCCCUGGAGGCUGGACCUGGGUUUGGCACCGAGUGGCACUCAUACAUACUUCUUGAAUAAGAGAAUGUAUGUACACAGUGGCAUGAAAUUGAUUUGAAUUUGUUGGUUUUCUUAAGUGCUAAAGUUGUAGACAGUUCAGUAAAAACUAUAAAGCGGUUACCCUGUAAACCAUGAGUACUAUUAAUUGGAACCUCCUUUCUUACAUAUCCACUUGUGUUUCUGUUAAUGUUUCCAAAAUAAAUAAA